UACGGGGGGGGCAAGCGUUGUUCGGAAUUACUGGGCGUAAAGGGCUCGUAGGCGGCCAACUAAGUCGGACGUGAAAUCCCCAGGCUCAACCUGGGAACUGCGUCCGAUACUGGAUGGCUUGAAUCCGGGAGAGGGAUGCAGAAUUCCAGGUGUAGCGGUGAAAUGCGCAGAUAUCGGGAGGAACACCGGUGGCGAAGGCGGUUCUCUGGGCCUUACCUGACGCUGAGGAGCGAAGGCGUGGGGAGCGAACAGG
rnacentral:rRNA from 1 species